UGUUGAUGAUGAGGGUAGCUCAUCAACAUCGAUUUAAACCUGUCCCAAGCUUGGUACAAGUUUUCACCACCUUUCUGCCUAAAACUCAGAAUAUCACUCCUCAGCUU
rfam:Solanum tuberosum cultivar DM 1-3 516 R44 scf00159_73, whole genome shotgun sequence.